rnacentral:lncRNA from 1 species
AUUUGGUUAUUCAGGAUGGUAUACGUAUUCUGACUAACGAACCCUAUACUGCAGUGAUUGUAUUUUCUUGUUUUACUAGCGGUAAAACAUUUCUACAUACCUCACUUAAUUUAAAAAUCGUCACGACCCUAGAAUAUGAAAAAUUUCUGGUAGUUCAUGCUUGCAGGCCUCACUAUAGAUAAGCCAUGUUGAAAUGUUCACUACUUCAACCUGAAACAACUGUGUAGACCGUUCACACAGGGCCGGAUAAAUUCGGAACCGUACUCAAAUUCGUCCAGUUUCGCCUUGCGUUCAUACGGGACGCAUGAAACUGGACGAAUUCCAACACCGAGGAUUAAAAGGAGAAUACAAACAACAGUAACGCAAGUAAAUUUUGUUUGAAUAAAUGUAUACUAUAUCACAUAUUGUUCUAUAAAUACACUAUUGUACGGAAACAAAACCCAACAUUGGGCCGCCUGUGAAUUAUCGUACUAGAAUCAGUAGCUUUAGCGACUAUUAAAGCAAGCUGCAGGCCCCAGAAAUAUGGACGUUGCGAAAACAUCUCUUCAGAAAACCACAGUGGUGUAGAACUGAAACGAUAACAAGGGGGGGG